rnacentral:rRNA from 1 species
CAAUAGCGUAUAUUAAAGUUGUUGCAGUUAAAAGCUCGUAGUUGGAUCUCGGAUCCGGGCGAAUGGUCCGCCUCGCGGCGGUUUACUGUUCGAUGGCGUCGGUUGGGCUGCCUCUUCGGGGUUAGGUUUCGUUCGGCGUCGUUCCCGGUCCUGUCUCACCUCCUGUGACGCCCGUCGGUGCUCUUGACUGCAGUGCCGGCGGCGGCCAGGACGUUUACUUUGAAAAAAUUAGAGUGUUCCAAGCAGGCGCGUUCCGCCCGAAUAAUGGUGCAUGGAAUAAUAGAAUAGGACCUCGGUUCUAUUUUGUUGGUUUUCGGAACUAGAGGGUAAUGAUUAAGAGGGACAGACGGGGGCAUUCGUAUUGCGGUGUUAGAGGUGAAAUUCUUGGAUCGCCGCAAGACGAACUACUGCGAAAGCAUUUGCCAAGAAUGUUUUCAUUAAUUCAAGAACGAAAGUCAGAGGUUCGAAGACGAU